GGGUAGCCGGCCUGAGAGGGCGACCGGCCACACUGGGACCGAGACACGGCCCAAACUCCUACGGGAGGCAGCAGUGGGGAAUAUUGCGCAAUGGGCGGAAGCCUGACGCAGCGACGCCGCGUGGGGGAUGACGGCCUUCGGGUUGUAAACCUCUUUCGGCCCCGACGAAGCGUGAGUGACGGUAGGGGUAGAAGAAGCACCGGCCAACUACGUGCCAGCAGCCGCGGUAACACGUAGGGUGCGAGCGUUGUCCGGAAUUAUCGGGCGUAAAGAGGCUCGUAGGCGGUGUGUCGCGUCGGCCGUGAAGACCUGCAGCUUAACUGUGGGCUUGCGGUCGAUACGGGCAUCACUGGAGUUCGGCAGGGGAGACUGGAAUUCCUGGUGUAGCGGUGAAAUGCGCAGAUAUCAGGAGGAACACCGGUGGCGAAGGCGGGUCUCUGGGCCGAUACUGACGCUGAGGAGCGAAAGCGUGGGGAGCGAACAGGAUUAGAUACCCUGGUAGUCCACGCCGUAAACGUUGGGCGCUAGGUGUGGGGGCCAUUCCACGGUCUCUGUGCCGUAGCUAACGCAUUAAGCGCCCCGCCUGGGGAGUACGGCCGCAAGGCUAAAACUCAAAGGAAUUGACSGGGGCCCGCACAAGCGGCGGAGCAUGUGGAUUAWUUCGAUGCAACGCGAAGAACCUUACCUGGGUUUGACAUGCACCAGACGCUGGUAGAGAUAUCAGUUCCCUUGUGGUUGGUGUGCAGGUGGUGCAUGGCUGUCGUCAGCUCGUGUCGUGAGAUGUUGGGUUAAGUCCCGCAACGAGCGCAACCCUUGUUCCAUGUUGCCAGCACGUGAUGGUGGGGACUCAUGGGAGACUGCCGGGGUCAACUCGGAGGAAGGUGGGGAUGACGUCAAGUCAUCAUGCCCCUUAUGUCCAGGGCUUCACACAUGCUACAAUGGCCUAUACAGAGGGCUGCGAGACCGUGAGGUGGAGCGAAUCCCUUAAAGUGGGUCUCAGUUCGGAUCGGGGUCUGCAACUCGACCCCGUGAAGUUGGAGUCGCUAGUAAUCGCAGAUCAG
rnacentral:rRNA from 1 species